AGGGGCCCAAGCACGGGCGGGGCCGGAAGCGAGAAGACGAGGUGAACAGCGCAGGGCGGGGCCUUGGGAGUGGGGCUGCGGCCAGGGAGCAAGGCGGGGCCCGCCUCGAGCCGAAGAGGUAACGAGCGUGGGGCGGAGCCUCGUGCGCGGGGCGGGGCCGGAAGCGAGGACGAGGAAUCCUAGAAGACACGCCAAGGACAUUCGUUGGGGAGCGUUUGCCGCUGUACGAUGUGUGAUGGAAACAGCCAGCUGCAGAGACGGAUGCUGUGUAGCCAGCGUCCCUACACCAGUUUCUGAGCCCAUGGGAGAGGCCAGAUGCUGCCUGUGCCCCCAUCCCAAGCCCAACAGAGAACAAGGAGAUAUAACACCCCGGAGAGAUGCUGCAAGGCCACACACAUAGAGCACCACUUUUCGUGAAAAUAGAAAAUGUGGGCCAGGCACGGUGGCUCACACCUGUAAUCCCAGCACUUUGGGAGACUGAGGUGGGCGGAUCACUUGAAGUCAGCGGUUUAAGAUUAGCCUGGGCAACAAUGCAAGACACCGUCUCUACAGAAGCAUUGUUUUUAAUUAGCCAGGCAUGGUGGCGUGCGCCUGUGGUCCCAGGUACACGGAAAGCUGAGAUGGGGAUGGCUUGAGCCUGAGCAGUCAAGGCUGCAGUGAGCCAAGAUGGUGCCACUCCACUACCAGUCUGGGUGAGAGCAAGACCUGACUCUGGGCUAGGUGUGUUGGCUCCCUGACAGGCUGGGUGGUGGGACAGAGCCCACGGCUGGCCGUGACCCAGUUCUGGUGUUCCAGGCACAUCGUGAGUACAGGGCAGGGCCCACUGGCCUCCCCCAACCUCAGUGCUGUUUUCCCAAAAAAGGUGGCACCCAAGUGCAGGGGCCAUGCCCCGAGGGUCCUCGGGCUGACUUCGGGAAGCAGCAGGUGAAGUCCCACCUCCCUGGGCAGCCUUGGGCCGCUUCCUGUCCUUGCUGGGGGCACUCCUGCCCCUGCCCCACGGAUCCCAGUCCUUGUCCCUGCUAUUCCCUCACCUGAACGCCCUUCCCUGCCCUGAUGGCCUCCAUCCCACAGGACUCUCUGGGCGCCGCCGCCCCCCGUUGGUGCUCAUCUGUCUUUCUACCCACUCUCCCCAGCGGCCCCAAUGCCUGCACACCCCAGAGCCCAGCGGUACCCCCUCGAGCUGGCAAGGGGACAUUAAACGGGAGGUGAGGAAGUGCAGCCCCCAGCGGGCAGCUCCCUUCACCCUGGCCCACCUGUGGCCCCGUCCACCUGUGCCCUCCACUGCCUCCCUCUGCUCGGCUGUCCCAAGACGUCUCUCUCGGCUGCCUAGGAACCCUGCGGCCGCGGCCAAGUUCUGAGUGUGUGAUUGUGUGUGCUGGGCCCCAGGCCCCUUUGUUGCCGCAGCGUCUGUCGUGGCAAACAAAAGUGCACUGGAUUAGCCACAGUGGAUUAAAAGAUUUGCUUCUCA